rnacentral:misc_RNA from 1 species
GAUGAAGAACGCAGCGAAAUGCGAUACGUAAUGUGAAUUGCAGAAUCCAGUGAAUCAUCGAAUCUUUGAACGCACAUUGCGCCUGCCAGCACUCUGGCAGGCAUGCCUGUUCGAGCGUCAUUUCAACCAUCAAGCCCUAGGCUUGCGUUGGAGCCCUGCGGCUGCCGCAGGCCCCUAAAAGCAGUGGCGGGCUCGCUAUCACACCGAGUGCAGUAGAUUACUCUUCGCUCAGGGCGUGUGGCGGGUUCCAGCCGUGAAACCCCCUACUUCUCAAGGUUGACCUCGGAUCAGGUAGGAAUACCCGCUGAACUUAAGCAUAUCAAUAAGCGGAGGA